UCCAAAAUUGUUACUUUGUAGGUUUUGCCU
rnacentral:piRNA from 1 species